UUUCUAACUCUUCCUGGAGGAGCUUGCUAUCUAACCGAUAACCCACGUAAUACCUUACCAGCUUUUGAAAAAACAGCUUGUAUACCAUCGUCGUCAGUUUACUUCACAAGAAAUGUAAACAAAAAGAAUUAAACUUCUUAACGUCAGAUCGAGGUGCAGCCAACAAGCUGGGGAUAAGUGAGCUACAAUCAGAAUAAUAAAAACAAACACAUAGAUGAACGACAGGUUGAUAACCCUGUCCGAAACAGGAUUCAGAAGUAAUGGGUAAAAGAAAAUACUCAUGAACAACAUAGCUCUAGAACGCGC
rnacentral:rRNA from 1 species